rnacentral:rRNA from 1 species
UAUGUCCUACGGGACGCAGCAGUAGGGAAUCUUCCACAAUGGGCGAAAGCCUGAUGGAGCAACGCCGCUUGGGUGAAGAAGGUCUUCGGAUCGUAAAACCCUGUUGUUAGAGAAGAAAGUGCGUGAGAGUAACUGUUCACGUUUCGACGGUAUCUAACCAGAAAGCCACGGCUAACUACGUGCCAGCAGCCGCGGUAAUACGUAGGUGGCAAGCGUUAUCCGGAUUUAUUGGGCGUAAAGGGAACGCAGGAGGUCUUUCAAGUCUGAUGUGACAGCCUUC